UCAAUUAUAGGACGAAUAUGCUACUGAGGAUGAUGAGUACGAGGAGAACCUGAAAAAGGAGAGCUUGGCUUUGUUCUUCUUGGCUACGUAUGGAGAUGGCGAGCCUACUGAUAAUGUUGCCCGGUUCUACAAAUGGUUUACAGAGGGGAAAGAGAGAGGAACCUGGUUGGAAAAUCUUCAAUUUGGUGUGUU